GUCAUCAACAUGCUAUAAAUUAAUGUCAUCCUGGACCUGAUUAUGCUAUUUUACAUUUCCUAACAUUCUUUGUUAUGUAGGUUCUGGAUCAUAAUUAUCAUAUAUUUUUUUUAAAGUUUGUUACAAUGAUGACAAAGUUCUAUUUCAUUCUGUAUGAGAAGCUGCAUAUUUGAUUGGAAGUUCAAUCUGAUUAAAUAUAUCAUCAACU
rnacentral:misc_RNA from 1 species